UGAGGAAUAUUGGUCAAUGGGCGGAGAGCCUGAACCAGCCAAGUCGCGUGAGGGAAGACGGUCCUAUGGAUUGUAAACCUCUUUUGCCGGGGAGCAAAGAGCGGCACGUGUGCCGCGCCGAGAGUACCCGGAGAAAAAGCAUCGGCUAACUCCGUGCCAGCAGUCGCGGUAAUAGUAGUGU
rnacentral:rRNA from 1 species